UGUGUGUGUGUUUGUGUGUUAGUGUAUGUGUUUGUGUGUGUGUGUAUGUGUGUGUUUGUUUGUGUGUGUGUGUAUGUGUGUGUUAGUGUUUGUGUGUUAGUGUAUGUGUGUGUUAGUGUUUGUGUGUUAGUGUAUGUGUGUGUUAGUGUAUGUAUGUGUGUGUUUGUGUGUGUUAGUGUGUAUGUGUUUGUGUGUUAGUGU